ensembl:lncRNA
GGGUAAUCAGCUAAUUGAGAGAAGUCAAGAGCAAUCAGAAUAGAAACAAGACAAACCGGGAAAAUCAACAGUAAUUAUGGACUGAGGACAAAUUAAUGAAUACAUUAAACAGAAUUAUUUUCUUUUGCAGAAGGAGUCGACUUUAUUGAGAGUAGGGACCAAUUAGUGUCCUUCUGUGUGACAAGGAGAAACCUUAAGUUAAAGGGCAGGUGGAGCAAUUAAAUUAUGCAGGUGAACCAACCCAGGAGGUAGCAAGAGAGAAUGAUUAACUGGAUACCUUAACUUAACCUACAAGAUGGCUACAGCAUGAGAAUUAAUGGCAGCGUGUGCACAGUUGCCAGCAAAAAUGUCUGCUGUUACCUUGAUCUCACAUAAAAAGCGGUGUUUUACACACACACAGGCAGACACCAUACUGUAAAAUUGUUUUUUUUUUUGCAUACUUUCUUUGUCUAUUUGAAACAUGCUACCUGUACUGUUUGCUGGAUGUUUGUUAUAAGCAGCCUUCCUCAAACAAUCUCUGGGGUCCAUCAUACAGCCAUGUUUAAUGGCUGCAGGCAGUUCUCCACUCCUCAUUGCAUGCAGUUGUACCUCAAGGAGGCCCUGACCUGAGGAUCUUUUGUGAGGCAGGUGCUCCUGAUGGCAGUGCUUUUGGCGUCAUAAGCAAGGUGGAUGCAUACUUCAGCAGUGUGUGACCAAGCUUUUGAAAAUAAAUCUCACCAAAUGUCUUGGGCUUGGGUGAACAAAGUGACGUUCAGGUCACCUGUGGUGAUCCCACAGAUUUCUGGACACCUGGACACCCUGCCCUUUGCAGUUUUGUAGGAUCAUUCUGCAUUCUCUGUUUUCUACCACUGAUAACUGGCAUUCUACAGUGUCCCCAGGGUGAACAGAAAGAGAAGACAGUGGUAAAGACAGAAGUUUGUUACAGUUUGGGCUUUCUUUUUUCUUUCUGUCUUCUGAUUUUUACCUGAUUUUCACCGCUUUUAUCAGCCCACACAUCAUUUUUAACAGCUAUAACAGAAAUGUGGAAGGAAAGGCAGCUACAGACAAAAGAGGUCCCUUAAGAUAGAAAUGGUAGUCUGUAUAUGAUAUGUUAUUCCAGUUUUUCCUAACAAAGAGAAGAUGAUAAGGUUCAGUUCCAUAUUCUAGGAAGAUCAUAUCCUUAGGUUAAGGUGAAUAGACUGCUCUCUUUGAGCUGAACACAGAAUACAAACAGGACUCUCGCCCUUGGUUAUCUGUAUUCCUGUAAUUAUUCCAACUCUCCACUGGAUGUCAGUACUGCUUAAAGUUGGCUUGGAGUUCCCUGCUUACAGCAGAGCGAGCCCUGCUUUUAGAGGUGAUGAAGAAUGUAAUUAGGCAAGGGAUGUAAUGACAGCGGGUGAAACCUGGCCCAUUUGGAGGCAGGCAGAGGACAGCUGUUAAUAGCUUCAUUUUCUCUUCCUGAAUAAGACAGGAUUACUGUUGAGUUUCUGUUCUGGAGCUGAUGUUGAGUGUCUAUCUGAAAAAAUCUCUGCCCAGAACAGUUCUGUGGAACUAAGCUGGUAUCUGAGAUUUCUACCAAAGAUAGAUGUGGUGCUCUAGAGUAAAGACACCCUAAAACCACCACAAGGCUAUCUUCCACUACAUACAGUGAGGGGGCUGACUAAUGGAGCUCAGGAGCUUGAAACCCAUUGCACAAAAGGCAGACACACAGAGAAAGUUUUCAUUGAAAAAGCUGUUAAGACCCCUAUGGCCAGUACUAAAGCUAAAAUUACUGAUUGGCUUGAACAAACCCUAUUUAAGCUCUGAACUUCCAGGAGCUUCCAGUUCUGCUGCUGUUACAUAAAACUGAUUACCUCGUGCAUAUGUUGCUCGUGCCAAUCAGUUUUCUUCAGCAGAGAACAGAAACAGUGGAGAUGCUGAAGGGAGAGCCAGCAGCAGCAAGGCUGCUGAAGGGGUAAAAGCACAAAGGUAAGCUGAGAGGAGGAAGAGAAUUUUCCUGACCCACAGAUACAGGCAUUUGGAAGAUAUCCUGUGUUUCCUCGGAAAUCCCAGUAAAUUUUUCCUUGCAGGACUUCUAUGAAAUGAGUAAUUCUGUGGUGGACAUGCAAUAGUUUGGUGGUUCUCUGUUAUCCUCCCGCUGCUGUAAGCACAGGUGAGAGCCUGCUGCCCUUUGAAGAGGAGAGGAAAAUUGUACAGAUCAUGAAACCUGAGUUAUGCAAGUCUAAUUUUUAAACUAAUAUCUUUCUUUUCCCCCACUACCAUAAUGCAGCAAAUCAGCUGAAACGAAAUGAACAGAAAUAGUGUUUCAGUGAUUGAGGUCCCAGAGUUGAGCUGAUUCCAGCGGCACCCCGUAUUCCUGUGAGCCUGCCUGAUGAUGCCUGUGCUGUUUAACUCUCAUAAGGAUUUAAUACUUGACGCUGGGACAAAGUUUUUUUUUUCCAGGCAUGCAUGGGGUGUUUUUUAUACUGUUAUGUGGCAUAUUUAUUCAAAAUGUACUAUAUUUAAGAUUGCUGUAAUCACAUACAUACAUUGGCUACUGGCCACAAUGCUCUAGCUAUUAAUCAUAGCCCAGAAUCCGUGGCAGACGUAAAAAUUAAGUUUUAUUUAUCAAACUUACUCAUUGGAAAUGGCAGCCCAAGAAAUUUACUCCUUAGGAUUCUGACUGACUUUUCUUACAUACUUCUGGCAAUGGGUUCAAGUUUCAAAAAAGGUGUAAAUCUUUUUUUUUUUUUUUUUUUUUUUUUUUUGCUCAGCCCAGACAGCGUUGGCACAAAACUAAAAUUAUUUUUCCAGAAAUUCAAACCCUUUUGUUUGGACGUCCUUUAUUUUUCUGCCAAAUUAUACCACCGGUGCUAUUUCUUUAACCUAACGCUAUUUUCCAUUGUAAUCCCAUCUUUCAAGAAACGAACCAAAGCCUUCCACCCUUGCAGCGAUUUGAGACCCGCAGAUAUGACUACCUUUCAGCUGAGUUGGGAAAGCAGUCUCCAGUGAGAGGCUUGGAGGACUGCGGUUACUUUCUCCAUAAAUAACGAGAUGAAAAUCCAACAACAUGAUACCAAAAAGCAGGUUUGGGAGGGAGAUUAUUUCUGUGCUGUGACCCACAGAAUCUCCAGCUCUGUAAACCUUGGUUAUAUGGGCUUACUUACAAAAAACAGUGUCUCUGAAAAUAACGUGCAUGCAUACUGUUUAAGUCGAAGGGUCCACAAACUGUGAUGAUGGUUCUGCUGUUUUCUUGUAUAGGAAAGCCUCCUACAACCCAAACUUGUUCAAGUUUUCUAUUAAAAAGAACAUAUCAGGUACAAUAGUACAGAAAGAAAAGAAAGAAGAAAACUAACAGGACUAGCAUUAUGGGACAAAAAUACACCCACCAUAGGAGCAAAUUGAGUGCUGCAGAUUUGUUCCUGGAUUUGGUUUCUUCUUUUUUUUAUCCCAUUUGCUUGCAAAUUGUUUUUGAUUUGCAAGCAUUCCUUUUGUAUACAUGUAUGAUAUAUUAAAGUGCAAGAAUUAAUUUAAUUCCAAUUGUUCUCUGCUUGGAUUAAGUAUAUGUAAACCUUAUAAUGUCUGGGCUUUAUUUGCUUUUGCAAUCCAAACAUUGUUAUAAUAUAUCUUCUUGUUCUCUGAAUAAAGCACUACUGAUCUGUAGAGCAUAUGAUUUUUCAGAAAUCAUUUGCUUUCCUAAGUGGCUUGUCAGCUAGUUUGAAUGAAGAAGGCAUCUGAACGACAGGAUAUAAGGGAGAAUGUGGAGACCACUGGAGAGCAGGUCAGUGUAAAACGGACUCCUAAGCUGUGGAAGUGUUUAGGCUGUGUUCACCCAUCCUAGUGGUAACUUAGCUGAUAAUGCCCUGCUGGAAGUAUGGUCAUGCUGCUCAGUCCUUUGUAACAGUGGAGAGAGGGGUCUUGGGACCACAUGAGCUAGCUUGGUGCCUGGUGCUAGAAGGGGUCUAUGAAUUUCAUCAAGGGAACAAACAACUGUCUCGAGAACAUCAGGUUGAAAAUGUUGUCCAGUUUGCAGGAAAAGCUUUUUUAGAACUGUAUUAGUUGUUUAACCCAGGCUGUUUCGGCUGGUGCCUCCAGUGCUCCUCUGUAUAGGCAGACAUACUCAUCACCACUGACGUUUCCCUCUUUCCAGUGGGUUUACAGGGAAGAGACUGGGCAAGGAGACAACUAAAACCUGCACUGCAUGUCCUGUGGGAUGGAGACAUCCUCCCCGUACCUCCCUGGGGCCUCCUUCAGUUGAGGCACACUGUCCAGGUGGCCAUAUCACUCACCUGAAGUGAGGGAGGGGUUGGCUCUGGGGGUGCUGGGGAAGCUGGUAACACAGCAUGCUGUCAUGUCUCAUAGGUUGAUCAUGAUCAUUGCUUGAUCAUGAUUCCAAUAGGAAAGGAGCCUCUGACAGAGGGUGGAACAGAAGCUGAUAUUUUUAUUUGUACUGUAGAGGUUUGAUUUGGUAGUGUUUUGGUGGAUGGAAGGAUGGAGGUUUCUUCUACAGCAUCAGGGUCCAGUCCUUCGUCUUAUUUUGCCUGCUUUAUUUUCUGUAAAGCAGAGCUUUUCCAGUGUCUCAUUUUGGUGAGAAAAGCAAAUACAAAGGAAAUCUGAACUCAGCUCAGUCUGAAUCAAAUUGGUGUGUAACUUGGCCUCCCAACUGAAAUAUCAACUAUCUCCACAGUCCUAAAGGAAACAGUCAUCUUGAUUUGAGGUGGACUGCAUAAAGCCAACAGUUUCAAUGGACUACUUCAGGCAUUAAUGUUAAUAUCUGAGCAGCUGUUACGAGGAGAAAGAUGAGUAGCAUCUACCAGGUUCUGUCCAUGAUUUGAAAGGCAGUCAUACAAAUUAAUUAGCCAUGGCAUCGCUGAAUGCUCAUAUGUAUUUGUUCCUUAAUAGUCCUCUCCGUUUUGUUUUGUAAGUACUUCUACAUUCCUCCUACUUCAAUGUCAUGCUGCUUGCCAGCAUCCUACUUGUGCUCAAAAUGGCUAAGAUUUGUUUUCCGAAAUGUCAGCAUUUCCAGGUGUCAAUUUUCUUCCCUUUUCAGAUGCAGAAGUGCCAGUGGAAGGUUGGCUCUCAUUUUCUGGCUCUGCUGUGAAUUAUGUUCAACCUUUCCUUAAGAAAGUUUGUGUUUCAGAACAGCUCAUUUAAAAAAACCUGACCCAAGCCUCCCAACAAGAUAGUUGAUGGCAGAAAAAGCUUUCUGCUUACAUUUGAAAGCUCUUCAAGAGGAGGAAUGCAAAGGGACUGACAAAUUCACAGUUCUCCUCCAUGCCCCUUCUUCAUGCCAACGUAUUUCUGUUUUCCACUUCUGAUCACGAAUUAGUAGUUCAGUAACUGACCCAGUAGUAUUUUGGACUAUUAUUCUAUUUGGGUCUGCUUUCACCUAAAUAACAACCAUCUGGUGGUGUCUCGAAUCAGAUUCGUCUGAUGGACUGUGUAUAAUAACCAGUUCAAGGAUUGUCAGGGGAAGGGUUAACAUUCUUGCCCUGAGCAGAAGGACCGCAGCUGCAUGCCGUAAACUUAGCACAAAGAUUGUCAGGGUAGAAGGCCUGGGUCAGCUGUAAAGAAUUAAGCAAAUCCCCCUACUACAAGAACAGGGAAGGAGAAGGGUGGAAUUAAGAAGUCUCUUUCUGUUCUUGCAUUUGGCUCAUGGUGAAACAGAUAACUGAGAACUCUUGAGGCAUACCUUGACCUUUAGCCUCUGUGCAUUUUUUCCUCAUAGAUGGCCUUGCUCCUUGAUCUUAAAGAACCUGGGUAAUUCAUCUGUCAUUCCGUUAAUGUUUGAGUUUUGCAGAAGGUGUGUGGAAAAGAUACCAAGUAAAUCUGCAAACUCAUUUGCUGUUUUUCUAGAAAUCUGUAUCCUCUCUUUCAAGCUAACAUUGCAUCUCUAAAGGGAAGAUGGGAGUUUACUCCACUGAAAGAUUCACUUCUUCAAGAACAAGACUGAAGCGUAAACAUGCCUUGUUUUCUCCAGAUGUUACAUCCUAUUUCAUAACAAACAAAUUCCAAAACACAGGUUUCCCUGGGAAGUUUAUCACAGAAAGACAAGGAAAUGGAAGAUUCUUCUGUUACAGCAAACCAUGGGAGAGCUGGAAAUACAGCUAUGUGUCAUGGUAUGUUAGAGAUAGAAAAAAUAUACAUGUUCAGGGCUAGUUGACUUUGUAUAUCCAAAGAAUCUUUCAUGGAGAGGAGGAAUGCAAAAUGCUGUAGUGUAUUGCAGAAAGGAGGCUUCCACAAAAAGACAUGGCUGAGGAUGCCAUUGCAGCCUGGGACCAUGUUAAGGGUCUAGCUUCUAAUGAUUCAAAGUCUAGGUUCUUUGUAAUGAGUGGGGAAGGUUAUAUUCUGCUUUUAUGUCUCUUUCUGCCUCCUUGGCUUCUUUGAGUUUGUCAGGGUACCACGGGUUCCUGGGCUUUGGGCUUUUUCCUUUUUUAGCUGUGGGUUAGAAAAUAAUUUUCCUCUAUGUGCAUAUGUAGAUAUGUUUUGUAUGCAUAUAUACAAUAAAUGUGCAUAUGUUUAGAUCCAUGCAUAUGUAUAUAUACAAAAGCUUCUUCAGGAAUAUAACUUUUUAGAUACUGAAUAGUAGAAAGGCAGAGCCAAAUGCUUAUCUUUGUAACCAUAAAAAAUCAUACAAAAAUCGAUAAGAUUUCAUCCAGUGAUGCGUGGGGUUUUGAUGCUGUUUUAACAGUUGAGUGUACAGGCUGGCCAAAUCUGAAGUGCUUGUUCUGAGGCCAAAUCCAGGUGCUUGUUGUUUGUUGGAAGGCUGCUGCAUCUCUUGUGUCUUCGGAGGAACUGCCUCAGGGAGCAGCAGACUACUCGAACCUUAGCUCCUGCUUCCCCUGACUUGUGUGAGCCAACACUUUAUGAGCUUACUUGAUUCCUCCAUAGCUGUUGCAUUGCAUGGCUCUGAAGUUGCUGUCCAUCUGCAAGGAGCUAAGCUCAAAUUCAAAUGCCUGAUUCUCUGAGGGGAGCUGAGUAUGGCUCUCUUUUUUCCCAAGGUGAGCUACUAAUCUGUAGGUUACAGAAAAAAUUCCUAUUGGUCUCCUGGAAUAGGUUUGGUUUCUUCAUGCAUGUAUUACAGAUGAUAUUGGUUUUGUUCAUGUUGGAACAGGCUCUGAAACCUCAGUAUAUUUCAUAAGCUGGAAUUUCAGCCAGUCCUAAUGCGACCCCCACUUUUACCGGAUGCAAAGGUAGAUAUUGUGAUACUGUUUGAUAGAUUUCUGGUAAGUCCACAGGAAGGUCCAACGAGGAGGAGAUAAACAGAAGCUGAAGUGAUAGUCAUGCUUUACUUGUUCCAAUGUCUUGCUCAGAUCUAGAAGAAACAGACUGCAGUUAUGACGCUUAUUCUGACCAAGGGAAAUAGAGAAAAAUACAUACGUAACCAGACUAGGAAAACCAAAAAUACCUGUUUAGUUAAUAAUGAAAAUAAAGGGGUAUAACUUGGGGGUUUUUUUUGUACAUAAGUGGAUGGCUAGCACCACCCAAUCUUUUGUACUGCUAUAAAAGCCAAAUCAGCUGAAGAGGCCUAAAACAAAGGUGAGGAGUUCACUGAAGACCUACCUGAAGCAAGAGCUCAAAAUCAACCUGACAAACCCAGUAACCUGGAUGAAACCAUUGUGUGCUCAGCUGCUUGGGGAGAGACUCGAGGCAGUUGACAUCUGUCUCCAAGAAAGUUUUGCUUAUACUGCAGAUCCUUCUGUGGUCACUGAAUGAGCCUGUCACACAGCAUAUAUGAAACUGCUCACCACAAAUAAGCAUCCCAAACCCUAUCAAUUAUACAACAACAACAAAAAA